rnacentral:rRNA from 1 species
GAUGAACGCUGGCGGCGUGCUUAACACAUGCAAGUCGAACGUAGCAUUUAGGACAGAUUACUUCGGUUUGAAGUUCUUUAUGACUGAGUGGCGGACGGGUGAGUAACGCGUGGGUAACCUGCCUUGUACUGGGGGAUAGCAGCUGGAAACGGCUGGUAAUACCGCAUAAGCGCACAAUGUUGCAUGACAUGGUGUGAAAAACUCCGGUGGUAUAAGAUGGACCCGCGUCUGAUUAGCUAGUUGGUGAGAUAACAGCCCACCAAGGCGACGAUCAGUAGCCGACCUGAGAGGGUGACCGGCCACAUUGGGACUGAGACACGGCCCAGACUCCUACGGGAGGCAGCAGUGGGGAAUAUUGCACAAUGGAGGAAACUCUGAUGCAGCGACGCCGCGUGAGUGAAGAAGUAAUUCGUUAUGUAAAGCUCUAUCAGCAGGGAAGAUAGUGACGGUACCUGACUAAGAAGCUCCGGCUAAAUACGUG